GACGAACGCUGGCGGCGUGCCUAAUACAUGCAAGUAGAACGCUGAAGAGAGGAGCUUACUCUUCUUGGAUGAGUUGCGAACGGGUGAGUAACGCGUAGGUAACCUGCCUUGUAGCGGGGGAUAACUAUUGGAAACGAUAGCUAAUACCGCAUAACAAUGGAUGACACAUGUCAUUUAUUUGAAAGGGGCAAUUGCUCCACUACAAGAUGGACCUGCGUUGUAUUAGCUAGUAGGUGAGGUAAUGGCUCACCUAGGCCACGAUACAUAGCCGACCUGAGAGGGUGAUCGGCCACACUGGGACUGAGACACGGCCCAGACUCCUACGGGAGGCAGCAGUAGGGAAUCUUCGGCAAUGGGGGCAACCCUGACCGAGCAACGCCGCGUGAGUGAAGAAGGUUUUCGGAUCGUAAAGCUCUGUUGUAAGUCAAGAACGGGUGUGAGAGUGGAAAGUUCACACUGUGACGGUAGCUUACCAGAAAGGGACGGCUAACUACGUG
rnacentral:rRNA from 1 species